GGAGGUAAUUUUUUUAAUCAUCAGCUUUGUAGAGGAAUCAUACAAAGACAUCAAAGAAUGCAAUUACACAUAGCCAGCCAGUGAGAGAGGGCAAUGGAACACAACAGGGGUGCGUUCAGUUCGAUUAAAAGUUUGCUAAGUUGCGGCACGGUUUGCACUGAACUGAACAAUUCCACAAAACAUCAGUGAACAGACUAAAUAGUAUGUUUGAUCCAUUUGGUGUGUGUGGCAGAGUUGAAUGACCUAAUUAAAGGUGAAGGGACAUUUUGGUAGCUUCCUUAAAUCACAACCCAUACACCUUAUUUUUCAUCUAGUCGUUCAGUACAGCACCAUUUUGUUUAUGUUAACAUUCCGUAAGUUAAAUUGAACGCUGCCCAGAAGCAUCUAUGGCUUACAACCCAGAUGGAAAGAUGGAAAGAGGUCCUUCAACCAUGUCUUAGAACCAGACAGAGAUGGGUGAGAUAGGGCACUGAUGAUGUCAUACAGGUAAUCAAGUAUUGGUUGGAAGCUGAGGUUCUAAAGGUUCCACUUGGUUUCUGUAGUUUUGAUUCGCUAGUUUUCAGUCAGAACAAUUUCAGAGAUCAUUUACAGACUAUACCACUACUAUAUUUCUGUAAGUGCGAUCUUUGUAGACAUCAUUGUCCAAUCCCUCUUUGUCAGAUUCUAGUUACAUUGGAGUUUAUAAAGUUGAAAAACAAGAAGAAGUUAAGAUAAGGGAUUUAUGGUAGAGGUACAAUAACAACAUCAUAUAACAAAACAUUUGGAAAGUUUACCUGGAGCUGGAUGAGUGGAGUUACAUAGUUCAUUAUCUGCCAUUUUAAGAAGCGUAGUGUAUUCAUUCUGUAAGUUACUAAAUGUUUUGUUAAACAGAGUUUCUAUUGGGCAAAUUCAUGAAACUCCUUGAUAUGUUCCACAAAAUGUUUCGCAAUUACAAAUAUUUUGACUGGCAGAAUAAAUGGUAGACAGCUAACUGUUACGCCAUGGAUGUAGGCGUGUCCUGUUUGUUCAGCUCCACAGUCUAACCCAAACCUGCAGGCAAACAAGCCCUGUCAUUGGCCUAGGAUGGCGUCACUCAGUUCAAGAGGUGCCAAUGAGGUUUCGGUGCUACUUGACGCAGGAGGAAUUUGAAACGGACAGAAAAAGGAGUGACGGCGGCGACAGGACAGGAGAUGGUCGGAGUGUUGACAGUCACACAGGCACUUGAUAAAUGACAGAGCACCACCACAACUCGUAUUAAGGCACGACAGACUACACACAACGGACACAAACGUCGAUGGAGGAUGACACCACAAAGCCCUGAUGUGGACUUUGAGCCGAAAUGAUAGCCCAGCCCUGCAGCGAAUCAACAAUGACUUCCUCUUCAACACACUGCACGCAGCUACCACAGAUGACUGAGACCCAGAGUGAGCUGUGGCAAAAUGAAGUGAAAUGCAUAAUAUCUGAAACAUUGAAACAACGACAAUCACAGAAAUCACAUAACGUGGUGAAAACACAUUCAAAUGCUUCCCUUCUUUAUAACUAUCGAGGGUAACUUGAUGCUUAAAAUCCAACAGAACAGGAUUCAGAGUUCUAGUUACAUUAAUUCCAUGUUUUUUCCGACUUAUAAUUUUGUUACUAUUGUGUUUUUAUGCAAUUACUCACAUUUACCUGGUUACAGAUUUAUAGAGGAAAUCAGUCAGCACCCACAAUCCGCAGAGAUGAUUAACACACACACACACACACACACUUAUGUACACACACAAUAGUUGUGACUAUUCCUAAACAGUCAACAUAGAUUUGUGAACACACUGGCAAUUUCUGGAAUUACAAUGGCUAUCAGGGAAGCGACUGUUUCUGCUAUCGGUAUUAUUCUAACGUUGUUGUACUAAGAGUCAAUUGCAGGCUUAUUUUGGUUUCAUUUUGCUGCCGAUUCUCUCUUUCACUCAUUCACUGCCCCUGUCUGAAAUCACCACUCUGAAGUUUGAAAGACACAAAUCCCGGCAGAACAGACAACAUUAGCGACAGUUGGUCCGCCUGUUGGGAAACGGGGUGCGUGGCGCGGGGGGGAGGCCCCUUCAGGGGGGGACUGGUCUGAUGAUGUAGCAGUAGUGAGUGAUAGGGCUGAACAGUCCGAAAGCCUGUGGUAUUGAGUGGCUCCAUCUUACACGGCACCUUGGCUUGUUCCCUAUAUGGUCCAUGACUUUCAACUAAAUCCCUAGUCAGUCAGAAGUCUCAUUUUUACAAUGGCAUUUUAUUGAUUUGGCAGACUCUCUAAUCCAGAGUGACAUCCUAUUAGUGCAUUCAUCUUAAAAUAGCCAAGCAGGACAACCACAUAUCUCAGUCACAGUCAAAUGUAUCCUGAAUAUGGUAGUAGUAUAUUUAAGCAAAAAGGCCAGAGGGGGUGUGGUAUAUUGCCAGUAUAGCACAGCUAAGAACUGUUCAUGGGCACGAUACAUUGCGGAGUGCCUGGACGCAGCACUUAGCCGUGGAAUAUUGGCAACAUAUCACAACCCCCCCCCGAGCCUUGUGGCUUUUAUAAACGGGUUACAAACACAAUUGGAGAAAAAAGUGAUGUCAUGUCAUACCCUUGGUAUAGGGUCUCAUACACCACAGCUAUCAGCCAAUCAGCAUUCGGGAUUUGACCACCCGGUUUAUAACAGUAAUUCUAUCAAAUCAAAAGAGCUAUCAGCAACUGUCUAGUUGGUGUGGUCAAAAUAAGUGUACUGUAGAGGAAAGAGAGCUACUAAAUAUGAUCAAAAGAAGUGUACUGUAGAGGGAACAGGGCUACUAAGUGUGAUCAAAAGAAGUGUACUGUAGAGGGAACAGGGCUGCUAAGUGUGAUCAAAAGAAGUGUACUGUAGAGGGAACAGGGCUACUAAGUGUGAUCAAAAGAAGUGUACUGUAGAGGGAACAGGGCUACUAAGUGUGA
ensembl:lncRNA